UACAGAGGUCUCAAGCGUUGUUCGGAUUCAUUGGGCGUAAAGGGUGUGUAGGUGGCGCCGUAAGUCGGGUGUGAAAUUUCGGAGCUUAACUCCGAAACUGCCAUUCGAUACUGACGGUGCUUGAGGACUGGAGAGGAGACUGGAAUUCAUGGUGUAGCAGUGAAAUGCGUAGAGAUCAUGAGGAAGACCAGUGGCGAAGGCGGGUCUCUGGACAGUUCCUGACACUGAGACACGAAGGCCAGGGGAGCAAACGGG
rnacentral:rRNA from 1 species